CCUACGGGAGGCAGCAGUGAGGAAUAUUGGUCAAUGGACGCAAGUCUGAACCAGCCAUGCCGCGUGCAGGAUGACGGCUCUAUGUGUUGUAAACUGCUUUUGUACGAGGGUAAACCCCGAUACGUGUCUCCGGUUGAGAGUACCGUACGAAUAAGCAUCGGCUAACUCCGUGCCAGCAGCCGCGGUAAUACGGAGGAUCCGAGCGUUAUCCGGAUUUAUUGGGUUUAAAGGGUGCGUAGGCGGGUUGAUAAGUUAGAGGUGAAAGGUUGGGGCUCAACCCCGAAACUGCCUCUAAUACUGGUAGACUAGAGAAUAGUUGCGGUAGGCGGAAUGUAUGGUGUAGCGGUGAAAUGCUUAGAGAUCAUACAGAACACCGAUUGCGAAGGCAGCUUACCAAACUGUAACUGACAUUGAGGCACGAAAGCGUGGGUAGCAAACAGGAUUAGAUACCCGGGUAGUC
rnacentral:rRNA from 1 species